CCCGCGGGCGUCGAUGGCGUCGCCGCGACCACUCUAAAUGCCGCCCCCAUUCUAGGCCCCGCCCCUCCGGCGCUACCUACGUCGCCGCGCAACUCUGAGUCCCGCCCCUCACCCGAGCCUCACCCGGGUCUCUGGCGCAGCCUCCCUUAUACCCUAUGUUCUCCGUCCUGGCCUUUACCCACUUUGGACCCGUUCAGUCUUGGCCUCACGGGGCGGCCAGGGUCCGGACCUGGAUGAGCGCUUCCGGGCACAGUCCACCGUGCCCGUGCGCCGACCCCCCACCCCAUGAAGGAACUGGAGGAUGGGUGCAGCUGUCGGAUGGAAACCCCAAAACUCUUGGACCGACUCGUGGUGGUCACCACGGGAACCAUCCCCGCUCCGAACACUGAAACAAAAACUCUUGUGUAUCCUGGCUCCUGUCAACUGGAAAAAGUGCACAACCUAAAAGUUGAGAAUUAUGUUUUAUUUGGUAGACUUUCUGAGGAUUUCAAGCCUGGGAGGUAGCCUCUCAGAUAGCUCUGAGGGACUGCUCCAAAUAGGUAAGGGAGGCGCCAGGAUAUAUAGGAGUUUUGCAACAAGGACCAGGUAGUUGGGACAUCAAAAGAUUACUGUAUAAGACUUCCCUGGUGGAGCUGUGGUUAAGAAUCCGCCUGCCAAUUCAGGGACACAGGUUCGAGCCCUGGUCCGGGAAGAUCCCACAUGUAGCGGAGCAACUAAGCCUGUGCACCACAACUACUGAGCCUGCUCUCUAGAGUCCGUACUACUGAGCCCGCACACCACAACUACUGAAGCCCGCACGCCACAGCUACUGAAACCCCUGCACCUAGAGCCUGUGCUCGGCAACGAGAAGCCAGUGCAAUGAGAAGCCUGUGGACCGCAAUGAAUAGACCCCACUCACAGCAACUAGAGAAAACCCGUGCGCAGCAGCCCAAAAAUAAAUAAAUAAAUAAAAUUUAUGUUAAAAAAAAAA